rnacentral:tRNA from 1 species
AUUUAGAUAGCUUAUUUAGAGCAUAGCAUUGAAGUUGCUGGGGUAAUCAUAGAUUUCUAAAUA